CAUGAUGCUUUCUUGUUUUUUCUUUAUAAUUUCUAUAUGAUCGUGACGCUUUCUCUUUGGUUAUGUGGAAAUAUUAUUGAAUUAUUUUUUCUUGUUUUUGUAGGGAAUAUACCUGGUUAUUUAUUGAUUUAUUUUUUAUAGUUUUUGUGGGGAAUAUUUUUGUUUAGUGUAUCUUUUUCACUCCUUAUUAAAGAAAUUGCGUAUCUGACAAUCUUGUAGUUGAAAUGAAAAAGAGGAAUAAGCUACGAGCAAAGUAUGUUUAUGUCUCUAUAUCAGCCCAGUGGACACUCUUCGACAAAGAAAUAUUGAACUCGAAAAAGUUAAUUUUGUGGGUGUUCUUCUGCUACGCAAAGUCUGCGAAAAACAAAGGUUGGAUCCAACACACUAUCAUCCGACAAAAGGUCGGAUCGACGAAUCCGGUUGUAUUGCACAUUGGAAACAAUAAAGGAAAAUGUCGUGAAUCAACCGAACAAGACGCGAUGCAGACAAUCCUUGGCUAAAGAAUAUCCUACAAGAAGGGGAUGAGAUCUGGUCCGAGACCAGAAAGUAAAGAAAAAGGUGGUAGUAUACUCCCAAAAGUAUGUUCAGACUUUGGAAGCUCGACUUGCAAAAACUUAAGAAUUACUAUAAAGUCAACGAUAUGAAUUAUUAGAGCCACAACGUUUGGCGGCUGAACGACAAUCAAAUGAGCAGAUGACAAAGAUAGAAGGAAUUCUUCAAAGAUUUACUAGAUGAGGGAAAGUUCAUCACUGAGUAAGGUACGGAAAAAGAGGUGACAGGAUGCUCCCAAGGGUACAUCGAACCUUGGAGGCUCGAAUUGCAAAAACAGAAGUAUUGUUACAGAGUCAAUGAUAGGUACAACAUUUGGCAGUUGAAGAACAAUAAAAUGAGCAAAUGACAAGGACACAAGAGUUACUAGAUAUGCAACGCUAGGAAUAUUAUAAAAACAAAAGAAUUAUUACAGAGUCAGCGACAAAAAUUAUUAGAGGCACAACGUUUGGUCGCUGAAUGACAAUUAAAUGAGCAGAUGACAUAAAGAUGCCAGAGUUAUUGGAUAUGCAAUGCCAGAGAUACGAGAGAAAGUUUGAGAAGAAAUUAUUUAGAGAUUUGCUGAAGGAGGAGGAAGUUCAUCACUGAGUAAAGUACAAAAAUUUUGAAUUUCUUUUAUAUUCAAGUUUAUGUAAUAUGUUAUUGAAUAUGAAUUUUGGUGAAGUUCUUUCUUUAAUAUUGUUAUUGGAGCUCGAGCGCAUGGAGAGGGAUAGUGCCUAAUGUGAAAUUUGAUUUAGACUUUGUUUGUUGGAGCUUUUCAUUUUUGUGCCUCAUGUGUCUUCUAUUUGUUGUUGGAGCUUGAGAAAUAUGUUUCUGUCUUCCAUAAAUGUGAAAUUUGUUGUUGAAGAUUGUAUUUU